rnacentral:tRNA from 1 species
UUCAAUCUGGCAAAAAAUUGAUGUGUCGAAUUUAAGAUUCGCUUAUAGACUUUGUCGGUUGGAA